AACGAACGCUGGCGGCAUGCCUAACACAUGCAAGUCGAACGAGACCUUCGGGUCUAGUGGCGCACGGGUGCGUAACGCGUGGGAACCUGCCCUUAGGUUCGGAAUAACUCCCCGAAAGGGGUGCUAAUACCGGAUAAUGUCUUCGGACCAAAGAUUUAUCGCCUUUGGAUGGGCCCGCGUGGGAUUAGCGAGUGGGUAGGGUAAAAGCCUACCAAGGCGACGAUCCAUAGCUGGUCUGCGAGGAGGAGCAGCCACCCUGGGGCUGAGACCCGGCCCAGACUCGUACGGGAGGCAGCAGUGGGGGAUAGUGGAGGGUGGGCGAAAGCCUGAUCCAGCGAUGCCGCGUGAGUGAUGAAGGGGUUAGGGUUGUAAAGCUCUUUUACCCGGGAUGAUAAUGACAGUACCGGGAGAAUAAGCUCCGGCUAACUCCGUG
rnacentral:rRNA from 1 species